UUUCCGUAGGUGAACCUGCGGAAGGAUCAUUAUU
rnacentral:rRNA from 1 species